GAUGAAGAACGUAGCGAAAUGCGAUAAGUAAUGUGAAUUGCAGAAUUCAGUGAAUCAUCGAAUCUUUGAACGCACAUUGCGCCCGCCGGUAUUCCGGCGGGCAUGCCUGUUCGAGCGUCAUUAUAACCCCUCAAGCUCAGCUUGGUGUUGGGGCCUGCUGCACUGGCAGCCCUUAAAAUCAGUGGCGGCGCCAUCUGGCUCUAAGCGUAGUAAUUCUUCUCGCUAUGGAGUCCUGGUGGAUGCUUGCCAUCAACCCCCAAUUUUUCUAUGGUUGACCUCGGAUCAGGUAGGGAUACCCGCUGAACUUAAGCAUAUCAAUAAGCGGAGGA
rnacentral:misc_RNA from 1 species